UCUGAUUAGCUAGUUGGUAGGGUAAAAGCCUACCAAGGCAUCGAUCAGUAACUGGUCUGAGAGGAUGACCAGUCACACUGGGACUGAGACACGGCCCAGACUCCUACGGGAGGCAGCAGUGGGGAAUUUUCCGCAAUGGGCGAAAGCCUGACGGAGCAAUACCGCGUGAGGGAGGAAGGCUCUUGGGUUGUAAACCUCUUUUCUCAGGGAAGAAGAUCUGACGGUACCUGAGGAAUCAGCAUCGGCUAACUCCGUGCCAGCAGCCGCGGUAAUACGGAGGAUGCAAGCGUUAUCCGGAAUGAUUGGGCGUAAAGCGUCCGCAGGUGGCUGCUUCAAGUCUGCUGUCAAAGCUCAGGGCUUAACCCUGAAUCGGCGGUGGAAACUGAACAGCUAGAGUGCGGUAGGGGCAGAGGGAAUUCCCAGUGUAGCGGUGAAAUGCGUAGAGAUUGGGAAGAACACCGGUGGCGAAAGCGCUCUGCUGGACCGCAACUGACACUCAUGGACGAAAGCUAGGGGAGCGAAUGGGAUUAGAUACCCCAGUAGUCCUAGCCGU
rnacentral:rRNA from 1 species